UCAAGUACCCGUGAGGGAAAGUUGCAAAGCACUUUGAAGAGAGAGUUAAAGAGGACGUGAAACCGGAGAGGUGGAAACGGAUAGAGUCGGCGCGUAUCUUUCAAGUAUUCAUUUACAUUAUUUUUAUGUUGUGAUCUCUGAGCUCCAGAUUGGGACAGAAAGAAGCAUCAUAAUUUUCUGUGAUGCAUUUGCUUGUUUGGUGCUUGGGGAUGUUUGAGGCAGAUUUGUAACCGCCGUUUUGAGGCCAGCUUGCUGGUACCCAAACAGCGUUAGCAUCUUUUGUCUUGGACAUUUGAGUAUGGUUUACGGGCAUUUAUUGGUUCGAUCUGAUUGUAAGUUACGGUCGCAUGCGACACGUGCUUUUCAUUUAGAUCGGUCCAGUUAAUGCUCUCGUACUCGCUCCCCAUGUAAAAGCCGGUCAUCUAUCCGACCCGUCUUGAAACACGGACCAAGGAGUUUAUCGUGUGCGCAAGUUUUUGGGUGUUAAAAACCUAAAAGCGAAAUGAAAGUAAAUGGCUCUUUAGAGUCUGACGUGCGAUCUUGUAAAAAAGGGCAGCAUGGCCCCAUUCUAACUGUUUACAGUAGGGUGGAGGAAGAGCGUACGCGGUGAGACCCGAAAGAUGGUGAACUAUUCCUGAGCAGGACGAAGCCAGAGGAAACUCUGGUGGAAGUCCGAAGCGGUUCUGACGUGCAAAUCGAUCGUCUGACUUGGGUAUAGGGGCGAAAGACUAAUCGAACCAUCUAGUAGCUGGUUUUCCUUUCCGAA
rnacentral:rRNA from 1 species